rnacentral:rRNA from 1 species
AGAGUUUGAUCCUGGCUCAGGAUGAACGCUGGCGGUAUGCUUUACACAUGCAAGUCGAACGAAAGUUUUAACUUUAAGUGGCGAACGGGUGAGUAACACGUGAGAAUUUGCCUUUAGGAAGAGGAUAACAAUUGGAAACAAAUGCUAAUACUCUAUAUGCUAUACAGUGAAAGGAAAAACUAUUUUGCCUAAAGAGAAGCUCGCGGCUGAUUAGCUUGUUGGUAAGGUAAUAGCUUACCAAGGCGACGAUCAGUAUCUGGUUUUAGAGGAUGAGCAGACACACUGGAACUGAGACACGGUCCAGACUCCUACGGGAGGCAGCAGUGGGGAAUUUUCCGCAAUGGGCGAAAGCCUGACGGAGUAAUACCGCGUGAGGGAAGACAGCUUAUGGGUUGUAAACCUCUUUUUUUAGGGAUGAAUAAAUGACGUGUACCUAAAGAAUAAGCAUCGGCUAACUCCGUGCCAGCAGCCGCGGUAAUACGGGGGAUGCAAGUGUUAUCCGGAAUUAUUGGGCGUAAAGAGUCUGUAGGUGGUUAAAUAAGUCAAUUGUUAAAUCUUGAAGCUCAACUUUAAAACUGCAAUCGAAACUGUUUAACUAGAGUAUAGUAGAGGUAAAGGGAAUUUCCAGUGUAGCGGUGAAAUGCGUAGAUAUUGGAAGGAACACCAAUGGCGAAAGCACUUUACUAGGCUAUUACUGACACUCAGAGACGAAAGCUAGGGUAGCAAAUGGGAUUAGAUACCCCGGUAGUCCACGCCGUAAACGAUGUCUACUAGGAGCUGGGGUCUUCGGACAACUUUUCCAAAGCUAACGCAUUAAGUAGACCGCCUGGGGAGUACGGCCGCAAGGUUAAAACUCAAAUGAAUUGACGGGGGCCCGCACAAGCGGUGGAGCAUGUGGUUUAAUUCGAUGCAACGCGAAGAACCUUACCUACACUUGACAUACAGAGAACUUACUAGAGAUAGUUUGGUGCCUUCGGGAACUCUGAUACAGGUGCUGCAUGGCUGUCGUCAGCUCGUG